CGUCGCAAGCUUAUCCUGUGAAGGUCCCGUAGUAAGCAAAAUGGGUAACUCCCAAAACGUCAGGUCGAGGUGCAGCCCACGGAGUGGGAAGAAAUGGGCUACAUUUUCUACAACAGAACAUUACGAAUAACGCCAUGAAACUGGUGUUUGAAGGUGGAUUUAGUAGUAAAAAACAAACAGAGAGUCUUUUUGAACCAGGCUCUGAGACGCGUACACACCGCCCGUCACCCUCCCUAUCAAUUAUUAAUUAAAGUAAAUAACCAAACAAAAUCAAAAGCGGGGAGGCAAGUCGUAACAUGG
rnacentral:rRNA from 1 species